UUGCAUAGCACUUUGUACAGCUUUCCAAACAUAUCAUCAAUUUGUAAUCUGUAUUAUGAAUGAAAGAAACUGUAGAGAUUUUUCAUAGAUCUCAUGCAAAAAAUUAAAAUAUAAAAUAAAUUAUUCAACAAUAGAUCUCAAAGUAUAAAAAUGAUAAUCAUCCAUGAAUCAUAUCUUGAAAUCUCUGAGCAGCCAUUGAUGAUCUCUGUUGGAACGUCC
rnacentral:lncRNA from 1 species